GCGGGAUUCGUACAGUGGUAGUACACUGGCUUCCCAAGCCAGAGAGGCGGGUUCGAUUCCCGUAUCCCGCUCCA
rnacentral:tRNA from 1 species